GAAAUUUUUUAUGUUUUUAGCAUGGUUUAGCAUGGCAACAUUGUAUCGCCUGUACCGAAACUCCUUAAUCUUACUGUCCAUACAUUCAUAUACCGUCGUAUAUUUCAGUUGUCAGCUUUCGCGAGGUGAGUGAAACGCAAGGGAAGGAAACUGACGCAGUUGGUAUUGAGGAGCAAAAAGAUACUGGGGAAAGCGAGGGAUAGAAUAAUUAUGAGUAACGCAUCUCCCUCGAGAACAACGGGGAUCCGAUAAAUAAAACAGCCAAUGGACACGCAUCGCCUCAAAUCAUGUAAUUCUUUUUCGCAACAGUAACUGAUCUUGUCUACAUAUGUAUGGAGAAAUGAUCGACGUCCAGAAAAGGUCCCCUAAUGGCGGGACGUUACGAGGGUUCAACUCCGAAGAUAAGAAUGAAGAAAUUUAUCUUCUAUUCUUUUCGGUACGGCACAUUAGUACAUAUCAUUGAUCAAUUCACCGAAGCUUCUGGUGCACGGAGAUAGUUAAAUUUGAAAAAUAACCGUCCAGUAACGAUAGUGUAGUGACGAGCUGCAAUUCGUGAUAGAAGUAUGGGAAAGAAAUUAAAUUUUCCUAUAAAAAAAAUAAUGUUCAUUUUUCACAGUCGAAACUUUAACCGGAGUAUUUAGCAAAUGCGUUGACGUCACGAUGAUUUUCACGACGCUGCACUGUACAAAUUUCCGUACGAAUGUUUAUGCUACGAUGCGGCGAUACGGGGAUACUCAGCCCUUGUUGAAGUGUGUAAAUCAUCAUUUCAGUGUGUUAAGAAAUUCGGAAACGAGUGAUCGAUAUACCUACGUUAGAGCAAAGACCGUGAUGCAACGUAAAAUUCACUAGAACUUUUGCAAAUUUUAGUAUACGUAAUGUAAAUUUAACUAUCUGCAACUACUAUAAAACUGAAAAUUCCGUAAAAUCUUGAAACUUUACAGUGCGUUACUGGAAUAAAUAUUUUU